UUUGUUUCCCUUCAUGCACUCUAUGAUGUUUGCACAACGAUGAAAUCGCCUAAUGACACAUUUCUCAGGACGUAUCCUUGUUGUUAAGCAACGUGU